AUACGGAGGAUCCGAGCGUUCUCCGGAUUUAUUGGGUUUAAAGGGAGCGUAGGUGGAUUGUUAAGUCAGUUGUGAAAGUUUGCGGCUCAACCGUAAAAUUGCAGUUGAAACUGGCAGUCUUGAGUACAGUAGAGGUGGGCGGAAUUCGUGGUGUAGUGGUGUAAUGCUUAGAUAUCACGAAGAACUCCGAUUGCGAAGGCAGCUCACUAGACUGUUACUGACACUGAUGCUCGAAAGUGUGGGUAUCAAACAGGAUUAGAUACCCUGGUAGUCCACACAGUAAACGAUGAAUACUCGCUGUUUGCGAUAUAUAGUAAGCGGCCAAGCGAAAGCAUUAAGUAUUCCACCUGGGGAGUACGCCGGCAACGAUGAAACUCAAAGGAAUUGACGGGG
rnacentral:rRNA from 1 species